GCAGUCGUGGCCGAGUGGUUAAGGCGAUGGACUCGAAAUCCACUGGGGUUUUUCCGCGUAGGUUCGAAUCCUACCGGCUACG
rnacentral:tRNA from 13 species